rnacentral:ncRNA from 1 species
CUCCCGAAAAGGCAAAGCUCGCAGAGCUACGCAAAGUCACGGGUUCGACACUGAACGUGCGAAUAGCCGGACCGCCGAA